GAUCCUGGCUCAGGAUGAACGCUAGCUACAGGCUAACACAUGCAAGUCGAGGGUAGCAGGGUAGCAAUACCGCUGACGACCGGCGCACGGGUGAGUAACACGUAUCCAACCUUCCCAUAACUCAGGGAUAGCCUUUCGAAAGAAAGAUUAAUACCUGAUAGUACUUUUUCAAGGCAUCUUGAAAAAGUUUAAAGAUUUAUUGGUUAUGGAUGGGGAUGCGUUCCAUUAGAUAGUUGGUGAGGUAACGGCUCACCAAGUCUUCGAUGGAUAGGGGUUCUGAGAGGAAGGUCCCCCACAUUGGUACUGAGACACGGACCAAACUCCUACGGGAGGCAGCAGUGAGGAAUAUUGGUCAAUGGGCGAGAGCCUGAACCAGCCAAGUAGCGUGAAGGAUGAAGGUCCUAUGGAUUGUAAACUUCUUUUAUAGUAGAAUAAAGUGAGCCACGUGUGGUUUUUUGUAUGUAUACUAUGAAUAAGGAUCGGCUAACUCCGUGCCAGCAGCUGC
rnacentral:rRNA from 1 species